UGAAAGUGCUACAUUCUUACCUCAUGUGAUUGAGGUUCAUUCAAGGUGAAAGGUGCCAGAAGAAUAUAAGGACGCCCCACAUAAAAUUACGGAUGGGGAGCUGUGAAAUCUUUCCAUCAGAAGAAAAGGAAAUUAUCAGCAAUCUUCAAGCCUCAGAGCACACAGGCUGCCGACUGAUGGGAG